UCCAGGACAGCCUAGUGGACAUGGCACCUGCCCGGUAAGCAGAAGGUUGUGGGUUCGAUUCCCGCUCCUGGAC